AGAUGGUAGAGGGGAUGCCUUCUCUUUUAAAUAUGAGGCUAUGCCUUCUCAUGAUGGGUGAAAAUAUAUAAUAUUGCCCACAGCAAGUUCUGAUUUCGACUCCCCAUUGUGCAUUCAAAAAUACUUAAUUCUAAUUUGAAAUGGGAAGCCAUGGGUGGAAGACUGCCCUUGGUCCCAAGUGUCCAGUUUGACCAUAAGUAAACACAAUCAAACCCUGUGCAACACUCAAUGCAGUAACAGGUACAAUGCAGACCAGACAGGAGGACAAUUCAUGAGUUCUCCAUUCCAAUCAGCCAAUCCAAUCCAGGUUUCAAAAAU
rnacentral:misc_RNA from 1 species